AGUUAGCCGGACGGUCGCAUGAAAUAUUUGAGGAAAGUCCGAGCAUCACAGGGCACGGGUGCCGGGUAACUCCCGGUGAAGGCGACUUCAAGGACAGUGCAACAGAAAAAUACCGCCGAUUUUUCGGUAAGGAUGGAAAGGCGAGGUAAGAGCUCACCCGCAAUUUGGCAACAAUGCGCGAUGUAAACCCCACUCGAUGCAAGAUCGGGAACGCGAAAAAGUGGCCCGCAAAGUUCCCCACAUCGCUUGAAACGUGCAGAAAUGUACGUUCUAGAUAGAUGACCGUCAAACACAGAACUCGGCUUACAGACUAAU
rnacentral:RNase_P_RNA from 1 species